ACGAGGAUCCAUUGGAGGGCAAGUCUGGUGCCAGCAGCUGCGGUAAUUCCAGCUCCAAUAGCGUAUAUUAAAGUUGUUGCGGUUAAAAAGCUCGUAGUUGGAUCUCAGCGCGGGACGGGGGGACCGCCCAACGGCGGACAUCCACCCGCCUCCCGGCAUUCGGCCGGUUUCCCCGGGAUGAUCUUCGCCGGUCGUCCGGGGUGACCGGCGAGUUUACUUUGAAAAAAUUAGAGUGCUCAGAGCAGGCGCGACGCCUGGAUAAUGGUGCAUGGAAUAAUGGAAUAGGACCUCGGUUCUAUUUUGUUGGUCGUCGGAACCCGAGGUAAUGAUUAAGAGGGACAGACGGGGGCAUUCGUAUUGCGACGCUAGAGGUGAAAUUCUUGGACCGUCGCAAGACGAACCACUGCGAAAGCAUUUGCCAAGAAUGUUUCCAUUAACCAAGAACGAAAGUUAGAGGUUCGAAGGCGAUCAGAUACCGCCCUAGUUCUAACCAUAAACGAUGCCAGCCAGCGAUCCGGCUGCGUUCCU
rnacentral:rRNA from 1 species